AGUGUGUGUACGUGUGUGUACAUGUGCAUGCACACACAUGUGUAGAAGUCACAGGGCAAUUGUGUGUCUCCUUCUGACACAUGAGUCCCUGACAUUAAAACUUGGGUCACCAGGCUUGGCUGCAAGCACUGUUUCUUGCAGACCCAUCUCACAGAUUUUAAACAUUUUUAAGAUCAUUGAGCCUAAAAAAAAGCAGACCCUUCCUGACCUUUGCCCCUUCUUUUUCUCUCUGUUCCCCCCUCCUUUGUCUCCCUUCCCCAACAAUAAACCUCUCCCACGUGGGAAAAAAAAGAUUGUUAACAGCAUACUAUAACCCUAGCACUCUGGACACAGAGGCAGGAGGAACCAUGAUAUUUGAGGCUAGCCUAAGCUACAUAGUGAGUCCCAGGCUAGCCAAAAAUAAAAAAAACGACUAAAUUGU
rnacentral:lncRNA from 1 species